GGGUAGCCGGCCUGAGAGGGCGACCGGCCACACUGGGACUGAGACACGGCCCAGACUCCUACGGGAGGCAGCAGUGGGGAAUAUUGCACAAUGGGCGCAAGCCUGAUGCAGCGACGCCGCGUGAGGGAUGACGGCCUUCGGGUUGUAAACCUCUUUCAGUACCGACGAAGCGCAAGUGACGGUAGGUACAGAAGAAGCACCGGCCAACUACGUGCCAGCAGCCGCGGUAAUACGUAGGGUGCGAGCGUUGUCCGGAAUUACUGGGCGUAAAGAGCUCGUAGGCGGUUUGUCGCGUCGUCUGUGAAAACCCGCAGCUCAACUGCGGGCUUGCAGGCGAUACGGGCAGACUUGAGUACUGCAGGGGAGACUGGAAUUCCUGGUGUAGCGGUGAAAUGCGCAGAUAUCAGGAGGAACACCGGUGGCGAAGGCGGGUCUCUGGGCAGUAACUGACGCUGAGGAGCGAAAGCGUGGGUAGCGAACAGGAUUAGAUACCCUGGUAGUCCACGCCGUAAACGGUGGGCGCUAGGUGUGGGUU
rnacentral:rRNA from 1 species